rnacentral:rRNA from 1 species
GAUCCCGCCGGACCUGACUGCUAUCGGAUUGAUACUAAGCCAUGCGAGUCAUUGUAGCAAUACAAGGCAGACGGCUCAGUAACGCGUAGUCAACCUAACCUAUGGACGGGAAUAACCUCGGGAAACUGAGUAUAAUGCCCGAUAGAACAUUAUGCCUGGAAUGGUUUAUGUUCCAAAUGAUUUAUCGCCGUAGGAUGGGACUGCGGCCUAUCAGUUUGUUGGUGAGGUAAUGGCCCACCAAGACUAUUACAGGUACGGGCUCUGAGAGGAGUAGCCCGGAGAUGGGUACUGAGACACGGACCCAGGCCCUAUGGGGCGCAGCAGGCGAGAAAACUUUGCAAUGUGCGAAAGCACGACAAGGUUAAUCCGAGUGGUUUCUGCUAAAGGAACCUUUUGCUAGUCCUAGAAACACUAACGAAUAAGGGGUGGGCAAGUUCUGGUGUCAGCCGCCGCGGUAAAACCAGCACCUCAAGUGGUCAGGAUGAUUAUUGGGCCUAAAGCAUCCGUAGCCGGCUCUGUAAGUUUUCGGUUAAAUCUGUACGCUCAACGUACAGGCUGCCGGGAAUACUGCAGAGCUAG